rnacentral:rRNA from 1 species
UACGUAGGUGGCAAGCGUUGUCCGGAUUUAUUGGGCGUAAAGCGCGCGCAGGCGGUUCGUUAAGUCCGAGGUGAAAUCUCCUGGCUCAACUGGGAGGGGUCUUCGGAUACUGGCGGACUUGAGGAGAGCAGAGGUGAGUGGAAUUCUCGGUGUAGUGGUGAAAUGCGUAGAUAUCGAGAGGAACACCAGCGGCGAAGGCGGCUCACUGGGCUCCGCCUGACGCUGAGGCGCGAAAGCGUGGGGAGAGAACCGG